rnacentral:lncRNA from 1 species
AUAGGCAAAGGAGAUCCUAACAAGCUGAAAGGCGAAAUGUCAUCACAUCAUAUGCAAUCUUUGUGCAAACUUCCUGGGAGGAGCACAAGAAGCAGCACCCAGAUGCUUCAGUCAACUUCUCAGAGUUUCCUAAGAAGUGCUCAGAGAGGUGGAAGACCUUGUCUGCUGAAAAGAAAUGAAAAUUUGAAGACUCAGUAAAGGUGGACAUGGCCCAUUAUGAAAGAGAAAUGAAAAUCUAUAUCCCUCCAAAAGCAGAGACCAAAAUGAAGUUCGAAGAUCCCAAUGCACCCAAGAGCCCUCCUUUGGCCUUUUUCAUGUUCUCUUCUGAGGAUUGCCCAAAAAUCAAAGAACAUCCUGGCCUAUCAAUUAGUGAUGUUGCAAAAAAACUGGGAGAGAUGUGGAAUUACAUUGCUGAAGAUGACAAGCACCCUUAUG